rnacentral:misc_RNA from 1 species
GUAGGUGAACCUGCGGAAGGAUCAUUAAUGAUGCCCUCGAAGUCUUUGGACUGGUAGGGUUUGUGUCGGUCUCUCCGGAGCCGACCUUAUCUCACACACCGUGAACUGUGGCUUCGGCCAUUUACACAAACUGUUAGUAAUGAAUGUAACAUCAUAACAAACAUAAAACUUUUAACAACGGAUCUCUUGGCUCUCGCAUCGAUGAAGAACGCAGCAUCUGACUGACUCUCGGAUGGUGAAUCUCGUAUGC